CCUAUUAAUAUACAUCUUUGCCUGACACUAGACUCCAAGAUUUGGGGCCCCUCAGCCUUCCAUGUCAUCCCAUUGCUCUCCGAAAAAGCCUUUCAAGGACCCUGGAUUCUUCCCCGUCUUUCAAGGCCACGGAGCUGAAGAAUGGAUGGGACUUGAGGACGGCAGCAGAAAGAUAAAAGAAUACUGAGGCUCAAAGAGAUCCAACGGACUUCCCAAGACCACCCAGAAGUAACAAAACUAAGGGACCUCUGCUGUGCUGGGCGCCCCCCGCCCCCCGCAGGCGGUCUCUGCUGCCACUGCCUGUUGAACAGCCCAGUGCCCAGAUGAAGAAGGAC